rnacentral:rRNA from 1 species
GACGAACGCUGGCGGCGUGCCUAAUACAUGCAAGUAGAACGCUGAAGGAGGAUCUUGCUGCUCUGGAUGAGUUGCGAACGGGUGAGUGACGCGUAGGUAACCUGCCUGGUAGCGGGGGAUAACUAUUGGAAACGAUAGCUAAUACCGCAUAAGAGUUGAUGUUGCAUGACAUUUGCUUAAAAGUUGCAAUUGCAUCACUACCAGAUGGACCUGCGUUGUAUUAGCUAGUUGGUGGGGUAACGGCUCACCAAGGCGACGAUACAUAGCCGACCUGAGAGGGUGAUCGGCCACACUGGGACUGAGACACGGCCCAGACUCCUACGGGAGGCAGCAGUAGGGAAUCGUCGGCAAUGGACGGAAGUCUGACCGAGCAACGCCGCGUGAGUGAAGAAGGUUUUCGGAUCGUAAAGCUCUGUUGUAAGAGAAGAACGAGUGUGAGAGUGGAAAGUUCACACUGUGACGGUAUCUUACCAGAAAGGGACGGCUAACUACGUG